rnacentral:rRNA from 1 species
AGAGACAGCAGUAGCCGCGGUAAUACGUAGGGUGCGAGCGUUAAUCGGAAUUACUGGGCGUAAAGCGUGCGCAGGCGGUUGUGUAAGACAGGUGUGAAAUCCCCGGGCUUAACCUGGGAACUGCGCUUGUGACUGCACAGCUAGAGUAUGGCAGGGGGGGGUGGAAUUCCACGUGUAGCAGUGAAAUGCGUAGAGAUGUGGAGGAACACCGAUGGCGAAGGCAGCCCCCUGGGCCAAUACUGACGCUCAUGCACGAAAGCGUGGGGAGCAGACAGGAUUAGAUACCGUGUAGUCCCUGUCUCUUAUACA